AACGCGAAGAACCUUACCUGGGCUCGAAAUGUUGUGGACCGGGGUAGAAAUAUCCCUUCCCCGCAAGGGGCCGCAAUAUAGGUGCUGCAUGGCUGUCGUCAGCUCGUGUCGUGAGAUGUUGGGUUAAGUCCCGCAACGAGCGCAACCCUUAUCUUCAGUUGCUACCAUUUAGUUGAGCACUCUGACGAAACCGCCUCGGAUAACGGGGAGGAAGGUGGGGAUGACGUCAAGUCCUCAUGGCCUUUAUGUCCAGGGCUACACACGUGCUACAAUGGCCGGUACAAACCGUCGCAAACCCGCGAGGGGGAGCUAAUCGGAAAAAGCCGGCCUCAGUUCGGAUUAGAGUCUGCAACUCGACUCUAUGAAGCUGGAAUCGCUAGUAAUCGCGGAUCAGAACGCCGCGGUGAAUACGUUCCCGGGCCUUGUACACACCGUAGUAC
rnacentral:rRNA from 1 species